AUUUUAGCUACACUAAUUCUUUUCUGUGUUUUAUUUUCACCUCCUAUUAAAGACCAAAGGGAGAGAAGCUCAGCGUGGAGAAUUCAAAGAGAACACCAGAGGCAGCUUUCAGCCAAGUCCUGUGUUCUGGAGAGAGCAGUGGCAGGGAAAGGUGUGAAUCGACCUGGAGUUACAGCAUGGAGAGAAGGUCAGAAGUUGGCCAGAAGGCUGCUGGGUCCAGCCCCUCCCAUUCCACAUUUGAGGAGCAGAACUGGAGAGCAAAGCACAGCAAAGACCUUUGAACCUUUGGAAGGAGGUGGAGGACUUGGGGCAAUGCCAGUGAUGGAAAAGAGCUCCAGAGUGGAGGGAAAUGAAGCUGUGGGGAGGAGCCCUGGAGCCCAAAGCGCUGUGGUGGCUCCCAGCAAGGCUGGAAGGGGCAGCAAUGCCCCCACAGAGGGCACAAACCAAGCCCUCAGGAACCUCCCCUUGCAAUGGCAGUCCUGUGAGGAACACAGACAUAUCAGGCUCCCCAGGGAGGCUGUGAAACACCAACCCCAAGGGAUCCAUUCUCCUCCCCCUGGACUUUCGUUAAGGAAAGAUGGAGCCAAGCCCAGCAGAGGAAACAGUGCAGCUCCUCAGAGACAGAAAGAGUCUGAGAAAGAAAACCUUGAGCAACCUUCAAAGAGGAGAGCAAACCUUAAAAAACCUCACCCUUACAGCCCUGAAAGCGUUCGGGAAUUUAUGUAUCGGAAAAAGGCAGAGAGAAAGAGAAAACUCCUCAAAGCGAAAAAGGCUUUGGCACAGGCUGAGGAGAUGAAAAAGAAGAGGUUGCAAGAAUUGUACAGGAAACAAAAAGAAGCUAUUGGGAAGAAAUUGUGUCCUGAUGAGAUGCACAAACCCCUUGGGAAAAUGGGUUCUGCCAAAGGAAAUCCUCAGAGUGAAUUGGAUCAAAGGCAAAGCAAUGGGGGAGAACUGGAAAGGAGUUUCAUGGCCUGGGUGGAUGAAACAUCCUCUCCUCUGUCACCAGAAGAUCACAGAGGCAGGAAUCAACUCCUAGAAACAGCUCAAUCACCUAAAAAAGGAGAAGCAUCAGGUCCUGCAGCACCACUGGAAUCUGAAUGCUGGUUUCUCAGUCCUCUGAAAUGUGAAGACUUGAGGGACUGCUCUCCCCCAGCUCUGCAUUCACCUCCUCUGAGCUUUUCUGUUCCUCAGAAAGAUGCAAAACCUCCCUCCAAGGACUCAUCUGUUGGACUUUCUCCACAGAGAAGCAAACAGAAUCAAGUGAGGGCCAUUCACAGUCUGUCCAGGGAACUUGCAGAAAAGAUUGACGUGGCAAGGAAGAGGCUGAGUGCAGCCAGCUGGGCUAAAGCCUCUGCUGACAAACAAUCCACAGGGACAGCUCUGGGCCUGCACAGUGAUCCUCCCUCUGCCCCAGCACCCGAGGCUUCCAGGGACAGGCAAGGGAGGACAACGACUGCACAAAUGCCUCUGGACAGAGAUCCUGAAGGGCUUUGUGUGACACCCAGCAGGGAAUGCCAUGGGCUGGGCAGGACUGGCCUGCUGGGCACACAGGGGGAAAUGCCAGCUCCUCUGCCAGGUGGGAAUGCUCAGAGGGAGGAAUUGCCCUGGAUCACUCCCCAUGCAGGACAGAGUCACCUGAGCUCUGCAGGAGAGCUGAGCAACACCUUGCAAGGUUUCCCUGUGAAUAAGGGCUCCAAGGUGGACAUAAGUCUAUGGCAUGAAAGGCCAAUAACCAGCCCAGCCUCUCCAGCUCACAGAUUCCUCACUAGAAGCCCGCAGGGAGAGCUCACGGCGCGGAGGGAUCAGUGUGGAUGUGAGACUGUUCUGAAAGUUCAGAACCAAGAGGAAAUGGCCAACCCAUCUCCUGGAGAGAGCCUGAGCAUCUGGGACAGCCUGAGCUUCCAGCCCUCUGCCACCCUGAGCACUGAGCAGCACUUGGGUGAGGGAGAUUUUGGUGGCACAGAGCUGGAGGACAAACACAGGAGACACCUGGACAUUUUAAGUCAAACCUCCUUACUACUGGCUCACAAACUGAAGCUCCAGCAGCAGCAGCACAAACAUCGGCUUCUGGUGCUGAGGGAGAAGGCAAAGCAAGAGGUUGAGGAAAGCCACAGGUUUUUGAGGGGCCUGCUGCAGCUCAGUUCUGAGGCCAGCAGGAAUUCCACAAGCAGUGCUCCUCCUGUGACAAGACCCGACCACGCAGAGCAGACACACAGAGGACACUGGCUGGAAGGUGACCUUGCUGCUGGCAGCUACAGGAGGUAGGCUACAGUGAGGCACUCCAGCAUUUGGUCUGUGGUUUGAUUAUAUUAAUAUUUUGGGGCACUCAAGUAAUUGCUAUAUAGUGUUUUUAACUCUGAUUUAUGCCCAAACUACAGUAUUAGCACCUUUCCAAUGUUGUGAGAGUGCUUGCACUUUUAAAAAAGUAGAAACCCCUCUGAAACUUGUGUGAAAAGUAUAAUUUUCUUUAUUUUGCUGUACUAUCAUACCGUUGAUAUAAAUUAGAAUAUUGUAUAUGCAUUUUUAAAGUUCAUUUAAAGUGGCAUAAAGACUUGAGAAUUGCUUCCAGAGUCUUAUGGAUGCAAUUACCAGAAAGGCACCUUUGCACAGGUAAAACUUUCAGUACCACAUAAAAAUGAGCAGCAUUCUGGUUUGAAAAGAUUCAAUCUCUGUGGAGGACUUGGCUGUGAAAGAGUAAGGAAUUGAAAUAAUAUUUCUGACUGCAGUAAGAAAAUAU
rnacentral:lncRNA from 1 species